AUUGAACGCUGGCGGCAUGCUUUACACAUGCAAGUCGAACGGCAGCGCGGGCUUCGUCCUGGCGGCGAGUGGCGAACGGGUGAGUAAUGCAUCGGAACGUGCCCAGUAGUGGGGGAUAGCCCGGCGAAAGCCGGAUUAAUACCGCAUACGACCUGAGGGUGAAAGCGGGGGACCGAAAGGCCUCGCGCUAUUGGAGCGGCCGAUGUCGGAUUAGCUAGUUGGUGGGGUAAAGGCUUACCAAGGCGACGAUCCGUAGCUGGUCUGAGAGGACGACCAGCCACACUGGGACUGAGACACGGCCCAGACUCCUACGGGAGGCAGCAGUGGGGAAUUUUGGACAAUGGGGGCAACCCUGAUCCAGCCAUGCCGCGUGCGGGAAGAAGGCCUUCGGGUUGUAAACCGCUUUUGUUCGGGAAGAAAUCCUCUGGGCUAAUACCCCGGGGGGAUGACGGUACCGGAAGAAUAAGCACCGGCUAACUACGUG
rnacentral:rRNA from 1 species